UGGUGGUCCGAGUGCCAUGGUGUUUACAACUAAUUGAUCACAACCAGUUAUAGAUUCCUUUGCGCCUUCUGCACUCCCACUGCUUCACUUGACUAGAAAAAA
rfam:Otolemur garnettii contig092892, whole genome shotgun sequence.